rnacentral:lncRNA from 1 species
CCUAUAAAAGUUGCAGAAAAACUGUGAGAAAAAUUAGAGAAACUAAAGCUAAAACUAAACUAAUGAGUGUCUCUCUCCUCUUCAGCCAAAAAUGGUUGUUAUGCUGAUGAAUUUUUGUUGCUAAAAUUGCCUCUACACGAGCCUUUGGUGAUUGGUAGAUCGAGUGGACAAAGACUACUCUUUUUGUCCAAUUUUGUUCCCCUCACAAUGUCGAUGUUACGAUAUCUAAAAGAGGAUAUCGUGAUACCUCAGGCAAUUCCGAACCUUAGGGUCUUUUUUGAAGGGUGGAUAUCACGAUACCACUAAAGGGUGGUCUCCAAUCUUCCAUCUUGUUGGAG